rnacentral:rRNA from 1 species
UACACUCCUGCGGGAGGCAGCAGUAGGGAAUCUUCGGCAAUGGGGGCAACCCUGACCGAGCAACGCCGCGUGAGUGAAGAAGGUUUUCGGAUCGUAAAGCUCUGUUGUAAGUCAAGAACGAGUGUGAGAGUGGAAAGUUCACACUGUGACGGUAGCUUACCAGAAAGGGACGGCUAACUACGUGCCAGCAGCCGCGGUAAUACGUAGGUCCCGAGCGUUGUCCGGAUUUAUUGGGCGUAAAGCGAGCGCAGGCGGUUUGAUAAGUCUGAAGUUAAAGGCUGUGGCUCAACCAUAGUUCGCUUUGGAAACUGUCAAACUUGAGUGCAGAAGGGGAGAGUGGAAUUCCAUGUGUAGCGGUGAAAUGCGUAGAUAUAUGGAGGAACACCGGUGGCGAAAGCGGCUCUCUGGUCUGUAACUGACGCUGAGGCUCGAAAGCGUGGGGAGCGAACAGGAUUAGAUACCCGUGUAGUCCCAUGAU